AUCAAAUUGCACUUUUUAAUCUAAGAGGCUUAAAUGUCUUCUGAUUAUAGCAAAAUGUCUACUUGGUAGUGAAGAUUUAUGCAGCUACAAUCUCUCUUCAAACCUUCUUAUCUUCUAUUCUUUUCCCCUUUUAAGAAUAGCCAAUUAAUAAUAGGAAAAUUGGUAAAAGUGGGCAUUUUCAAAGGAUGCUUGAAAUGAAAAGUGACACCUCUGUCCAUUAAAGAAGACAUGCCCUGUGAGCUGACUCAGAUGCCUCUUACCUUUCCAUUCACCCUCUGCUGAAGCAACCAGUUUACAUUACAUUAUGUCUUCACCAAACCAAAACUCUUGAAAAAC
rnacentral:lncRNA from 1 species